rnacentral:rRNA from 1 species
CACCGGCGGCUCGAGUGGUGGCCACUUUUAUUGGGUCUAAAGCGUCCGUAGCCGGCUUGGCAAGUCCCCUGGGAAAUCUGGCGGCUUAACUGUCAGGCGUCCAGAGGAUACUGCCAGGCUUGGGACCGGGAGAGGUGAGAGGUACCUCAGGGGUAGGGGUGAAAUCUUGUGAUCCCUGAGGGACCACCAGUGGCGAAGGCGUCUCACUAGAACGGGUCCGACGGUCAGGGACGAAAGCUGGGGGCACGAACCGG